AGAAGCCAAGCGCGCACACGGCGAUCUCGGGCCGCCCUCCGCCGGCUCCCCGCCGCUGACUGGGUGCUCACUUUAAUGCUGCGGGGAGCCCGGGAGCCCGGGGGCGCCUCGCUCCCCGUUCCCUCCCCAUCCCGUCAGGACUCUUGGCCUGGGGUCCUCCGCCCGGACCGCCCGGCUUUGUGUGGUGGCCCCGUCACCGCCACAGCCUGAGGCACGUCACAAAUCCGAGGAGCGGCCGACAGGACAGUCCUGGUCCCGGGCUCUUGGCGGAUCCGGGUCGGAUGCAACGCGCCCGCCCGCAGGGCUGCGGAUAGACCGGCCGGGGCAAGUCCCUAAGCUCUUCGGAUGUCCCCAACUCGGAGAGGGUUUAUGUUUGUUUUAACUGCCGGACUCCUCUUUCCAUCGGAAUGCCUACUCUGGGUUCUAAAAGAGGAUCUCAGCUGAUUUUCCACUUGCUGCUACUUUAUUUUGGUGUCUAAAGGCUGAUCAGAACUCCAGGGAGCGCCCGACUCCGCUCUGCUCCGCUCUAAGGCCAGCGGUGCCCAGAAGUUCAAAGGACUCUGGGCGGGGCUUGGAGGGCGGAGCCAGGACUACCCUGGCUAGAAGGCAAGUAUCGUGACCCCACCCUCGGUGAAACUGGAGCUGUCAAUCCUGCCUGGGAAUUGAGGAUGUAGCUAAAACCACAGCCAACACUGAAAAAAAAAUCCCCAGGGCCUGUACUUAAGUCACUUGUUGUGAGGUCCAUUCCGAAAACGUUCGAGAAUGAUUUCAGGCAAGCUUUUCAGUAGUUCGAAACUGACCGCUUUCUACUUCUCCGGGAGGUCCUUCCACUCCCUGCCCCUUGCUGCCGGGAAAUUUACAGCUUCAAGUUUCAGUACAGAACUAAGGUUUUCGGGUCUAUCAGAGCACAGGCUCCUGACGCCCAUUACCAGGGCCGGUCCCUAUCAAAACUUCAGCUCCUCCGUGUGAUCGAAAUGAAGCCCCCUUCCUCCCUGGAAGGCAAGAUUCCCUGCCCCUGUGUGCAGAACCUGAGGUUCUGCAGAACUAGGUUUCACGGAGGCGGUGGGGCAGGGGGAUGGGGUGGGGAGAGGGUUGGGGAAGGCAGAAAGAGUGAAAGACUGACUUGGGUAUCCUGAGAAUGCGUUUUCAAUUUACCUAGUCAGAGUGUUAGUGGGAGAUACCCCUGGGGCCAGAGGGAACAGCAGGAUUGACAGAAAGGGGAAGGGUAGACUGAUAGAAACAAAGAAACCCCAUCUUUUCUUCCCAUUCUUUUGUCAACCACGGUUGCAAAUACUGGAGGACUGGCUGCAGAGAGCAUUAGCUCUUGUCUGUUUGACUCUAUCAUCAGUUUGAGUGUGGGCACGGGAGGGCACAGAGUUCGUGCCUCAGAUACAAAGCAAGUGUUCCUCCAGGCGCCUGACCGCGUCUCAGCUCUUUGCUAGCAGAGCCAAGAUCCUCAUCUUCUAAUGACCAGCAUUAGGAAGAGAGAGUGGAAACCUAUAGGAAAAAGAACAAACGAAAAAGUCACAGAGCUGUGACUGCAUUAAUAACAUCUGGUGAGAUAAAAGGCAAGUAGCAAGUGGGGUUUGUUGCAUGUGGUGGUGCACGCCUGCUGUCAUAGUAUUUGGAAACUAAAGGCAGGGGGAUUAAAAAGAAUUCAAGGCCAGCCUGGGAUACAUAGCAAGAUCCUUUUUUUUUUUUUUUAAAGAAAAGUAAUGUUAUUUAUUUAUUUAAUUUACAUAAUCUUGUAUCUCACAGACAAAUUCAGGAUUAACUUUAGUCAAGACCACUCUGAUGCCAGCUUACCAAAGCUGCUAGCCAACAUCGUGGUGGUCUCCCAAUGAUUUUACUGCUCCACAUGAAGAGGAACAGCUUUGACCCCAACAGUCUUAUUAGUGUUUCUAAGAAAGACAAUGAAGUUCAUGGAGGAAGUAUGGGGGGUUGGGGGGCAGGUUGGUAUUUUGUUUGAGACAGGUCUCACUAUGUUGCUCUGUCUGGCCUGGAACUCACCGUGUAGACCAAGCAUCCUGAGUGCUGAUACAAACGGCGUGCACCUCCACAAUGAGCAGAAGUGUGCAUCUUUCAAGUGAGCAACAAAAGACAUGAGGAGUGGAAGCCGCCCUGAAGGCUGCUUUGACUGCAUUGUUAGUGGCUGUCCCUAGACAAGUGAAAGCCCCUGGACUGUGGGAAAGACUGUAACAGGAUAUUGAUAUUUAUUAAGGUAAGGGCUCAUGAGAUCUCUCUCAUACUUGGAUCUUGAAAGGUUUAUGAUACUUAGGUAGGCCCAGAAGCACACAGUAUUGAAGUGCUAAUUCUAACUCCCCGAAAGCCUUGGAUCCACUGGGGAAAGGUUACUAGGGGCUUGAUUAGGUCAAAUUAACAACACAGAACUUUCAGAAAAGGUGGGAUCACACUAGCUGCAGUUGUCAGUAAGAAUCGGAAACCCUUGCAACUGUCUUUUCUCUAAUUUGUCUAAGCCCCUUUGGGGGUGCCUGGUUUUCUACAAUUAAAAGUUUAUCUCUAUAUGGAAUAAAUCUUGCCUUUCCUU
rnacentral:lncRNA from 1 species